GAUGAAGAACGUAGCGAAAUGCGAUAAGUAGUGUGAAUUGCAGAAUUCAGUGAAUCAUCGAAUCUUUGAACGCACAUUGCGCCCCUUGGUAUCCCGAGGGGCAUGCCUGUUCGAGCGUCAUUUCACCACUCAAGCCUGGCUUGGUGUUGGGCGACGUCCUCUUUGGGGACGCGCCUCGAAACGCUCGGCGGCGUGGCACCGGCUUUAAGCGUAGCAGAAUCUUUCGCUUUGGAAGUCGGGGCCCCGUCUGCCGGAAGACCUGCUCGCAAGGUUGACCUCGGAUCAGGCAGGGAUACCCGCUGAACUUAAGCAUAUCAUAAGCGGAGA
rnacentral:misc_RNA from 1 species